rnacentral:rRNA from 1 species
UACGUAGGUGGCGAACGUUAUCCGGAAUUAUUGGGCGUAAAGGGCGCGCAGGCGGCCGAUAAAGUCAGACGUGAAAGCCCCGGGCUUAACCUGGGAACUGCGUUUGGGACUGGUUUGCUAGAGAUCGGGAGAGGAGAGUGGAAUUCCCAGUGUAGAGGUGAAAUUCGUAGAUAUUGGGAAGAACACCGGUGGCGAAGGCGGCUCUCUGGACCGAUACUGACGCUGAGGCGCGAAAGCGUGGGGAGCAAACAGG